CAGCAGCCGCGGUAAUACGGAGGGUGCAAGCGUUAAUCGGAAUUACUGGGCGUAAAGCGCACGCAGGCGGUCUGACAAGUCAGAUGUGAAAUCCCCGGGCUUAACCUGGGAACUGCAUUUGAAACUGUCAGGCUGGAGUCUUGUAGAGGGGGGUGGAAUUCCAGGUGUAGCGGUGAAAUGCGUAGAGAUCUGGAGGAAUACCGGUGGCGAAGGCGGCCCCCUGGACAAAGACUGACGCUCAGGUGCGAAAGCGUGGGGAGCAAACAGGAUUAGAUACCCCUGUAAUCCCUGUCUCUUAUAC
rnacentral:rRNA from 1 species